ensembl:lncRNA
AUGCUCUUGUUACUUGCUUCUUUGCUUACCUUGUUUUCCUGUGCCACAGUGCCCCUGGACCUUCCUCGACACUUACCUUCAACCCAGCUCUUCUCAGACUACCUCUACAUUCUGGAAAAUACGGAGAACCUCAUCUGCCUGCUCUCCAGCUAUCUCUCACCACCCCGGAUGCAGUGGAACUCGGGUCAGCCAGUCUUUGUGAUUACUCACACCGCCUCUCCCUCAAAGCCAAGCUCACCCCGGCUACCAAUGUACCCGCUCCAUUCCAGUCGCACCUGUCAAUUCCCAUUUUACCCUCACUGACCCAUGGCCACGUCACUACGCUGUCCACUCCCAGCUCUAGUAACACUUUGCUACGAAUAAAUUUGUUUUCUUAAUAAAACACUGUAAAACGUGCUCUUGGCCUGUGCGUUUGAGUCCAGUUUUGCUAUUGGCCUGUGGCUGUUGUGACACCAGGAUCCCGCCCAAGUAAAUCAAGUAAAGCAGCGUGUCCUGUGUAUACACACAUAAACUUUAUUAAAAGAGAUGACACUGGUGUUUCCAUCAUGUACUAACUGUUAGGUUUAACUGUACAAGGCUUGUUAGAAACUAUGAAACACGUACAGACUUCGUGAUGUUCAAUUAAUAUUUUCAUUGUGAAUAAUAACCAAGAGGCUAAACAGGCAGCCCAGCUACUGCCUUAGAGCCCUGUAAACCAUGGAGCGAGGUCGGCAUAUCCAGGAUAUCUUCCCGUUACCUGGAAUCAAUAACCCUAACGCUGGGGCCAGGAUAAACGGUCACACAAAGCUGGUUGUCAGCUUUGUUAACCCAAAACUUCCCAGCGUGUGGAUGUAAAAGUGUUGGCAGCAUCAAACUAAUCUUUGGGUGAACUACGAAUCUAAUUUAACAGAAAAAGAUCCUUAUGUAGCCAGGUGGAAGGUCGGUAUUAUUGGACAUGCCACUGGAUAGCGCUGUUUCUUUUGGGGUACCUCUGAGAGCGCAAGGGAUGAUGGGGAUCUACAGGGACAUUCACGGAAGUGCUAGCAUUGGUGUAAUGUGGGUGUGCAAUGCCAUUUUUCGCUGCGUGGUCUGUUUUAAACGCAAAGUGUGGAACAGUUAAGGCACCAGGAGUUGCUGCAACUGACUUAGGAGGAGGAGAAGCCACUACAGUUAUUUUUGCACUGCUAAGUUUGUUUUGUUUCAGGAUGGGUUUAUAUCAGUCACAAAUUGACGCUAGACAUCCUUGAGUUCCAGACACUGAUAAAGUUGCGAAAAUAACCUGCAGUAGCAGUGGGUUACCAGUGCACAAAGCUAUUACUGGAUAAGAAGUGUCUGUAACAAUUUUAUUUCCUUAUUUUUACAACCUUUUUAUUUUCUUCUGAGCACUUACUUUAUCAUUCAGAUUAAAAGAACCCCAAAGAGAAUCUGUGUUCUGGGCUGGUUAUUUUAGCCAGGCUACACUUAUUACUGCAAACUAUCAGAGAUACAUGGAAAUCUACAAUAUAAACAUAUGCCAGUGAAACACAACACUUUUGUAAAAGAGAUCAAUGCUUCAGUUUAUCGCAGAUCAAAGUGAAUGAACGUGAUUGGUUGAUCAGGUGUUCUUACUGUGUGUUCUGUGUUAUCUGCAUUUCCAUCAGUGUAAAAGAGACUCAGCAGCAGAUUAGAAUCAGGUAUAAUAAUAUUUAUACAUUUAAUAAAUCACCAAACCACCUGAAGGGAGUUCUAGCUCCGACCCCACAACAUUACUGGCCUUGCGGAUGAGUUUAUUGAGUCUGUUGGCAUCUGCGACCUUCAACCUGUUGCCCCAGCAUGCAACAACAUAGAGGAUGACAGUGGCCACAAGACACUUGUAAAAAAUCCAGAGCACUGUCAGAAAGAUGUUGAAAGACCUCAGCCAUCUCAGAAAAUAGAGAUGACUCUGGCCCUUCCGGUAGAGUACAGUGGUGUUCUUACCCAGUCCAGUUUAUUGUCUAUGUGUACUCCAAGGUAUUUAUAGUUCUCCACAAUGUCCACAUCAGCCUUCUGGAUUGAAACAGGGGUCAACCGUUUCCAGGUCCUCCUUCACACAUAUCCGCCCAUUAUAUAAACACUUAAAACAUGCUGUAAAUAAAAGACUGAGUGCAAACGUGGUGCUUCCAGUUGAUUUAGAAUCGAA